UGUCCUCUACCCCUGUACUAGCACUCCUCUGGGACAGGACCCAUCCUGCAUACAGGAGGUUUCAGGUGGCACCACCUCCCAGGUCCAGGGAACUCAGCAAGCAGGCAGGACUGUGGAAAAUGCACAAAGCCCAACAGCACCCUGAUGUGCCUACGGAGAAACUGGGGUCCCGAAAGGCAAAAGUCAACUGUUCAAUAUCCCCAAGGUCCUACAAGGAGUCAGCCACACAUUAGGGGCAGUCAUGGAGCAGAAAAUGGGUACCUUCGGCCUGCUGACAGCACCCAGCAGCAGAGGAGCAACACCUCUUCUCCUUAAGAGAGGCCAAGAGGGGCUGAGUCACCACUAGCAGAGGAAGAACAAAGAAGGGCGAUGGCUACUAUUCCCCCCAGCAGCGAGAAAGCCAACGCCCCAGAGGGUCUUGGCUGUGAGAGGGAGCAGACACAGUGAAGGAGGGAGUCACAUCCCCUCCUGCUGAGAACACAACCUGGGCCAGCUGGCUGCAAUGGGGACUGGCCAUGCAGCCUUCCAAAACAACUGGAAGAAGACUGGAGCCCCUAUCCCCAACUCUUCAACUCAAAACCAGCCCCUGGCCAGGCACCACCUGUACCCAGGGGCUCAAAUGGACUGGAACCCCAGGGCCUGGGCUCCAGAGGGGGGCGGGCACCCUCACCCGGUAGCGUGUCUCCACUUCUGGCCAUGCCAGGGCUGGAGUGUGUGAGAAACACAGCGAGAGCGCACAGCCAUGGGGGUGCCAGUCAGGGUGGGGGCCCCUGACGGAGGGAAUGGGCUCCAUUAGGCUGGCGAGAAGAGUACCAGCAUCAUGUCACGCCAGUGUCAUGGCAGAGAGGGAGACAAUGUGUGUCAGCGGAUGAGAAUCCUGGUCACAGCGAGGGCAAGGCAAGGUGUAUCUGCACAGACACAUGCGUACCCCGGCUUUGGUACCUGUGACCCGUGUAUGGCGACAGGGCUGCCAGCACGAACGCGUGGGCCGACGACGGUGCGCUCCAGGGAGCGUGUAG